rnacentral:rRNA from 1 species
CCUACGGGGGGCACCAGUGGGGAAUAUUGCACAAUGGGCGCAAGCCUGAUGCAGCCAUGCCGCGUAUGAAGAAGGCCUUCGGGUUGUAAAGUACUUUCAGCGGGGAGGAAGGCGAUAAGGUUAAUAACCUUGUCGAUUGACGUUACCCGCAGAAGAAGCACCGGCUAACUCCGUGCCAGCAGCCGCGGUAAUACGGAGGGUGCAAGCGUUAAUCGGAAUUGCUGGGCGUAAAGCGCACGCAGGCGGUCUGUCAAGUCGGAUGUGAAAUCCCCGGGCUCAACCUGGGAACUGCGUUCGAAACUGGCAGGCUGGAGUCUUGUAGAGGGGGGUAGAAUUCCAGGUGUAGCGGCGAAAUGCGUAGAGAUCUGGAGGAAUACCGGUGGCGAAGGCGGCCCCCUGGACAAAGACUGACGCUCAGGUGCGAAAGCGUGGGGAGCAAACAGGAUUAGAUACCCGUGUAGUC